GACAGAGGCCUCAAGCGUUAGGCGGAAUCACUGGGCUUAAAGCGUGUGUAGGCGGAUCGUUAAGUACCUUGUGAAAUCCCACGGCUCACCCGUGGAACUGCUGGGUAUACUGGCGGUCUUGGGCCAACUAGGGGCAGCUGGAACAAGCGGUGGAGCGGUGAAAUGCGUAGAUAUCGCUUGGAACGCCAAUGGUGAAAACAGGUAGCUGGGAGUGUGCUGACGCUGAGACACGAAAGCCAGGGGAGCGAACGGG
rnacentral:rRNA from 1 species